rnacentral:tRNA from 1 species
GGUGGUCCAGUCCGGCCAGACCGUCCUGGUUAUCGCCCAGGACGGACCGCGGGACGCGGUGUUCAACGUCUACGAGUCGCUG